rnacentral:rRNA from 1 species
GAUGAACGCUGGCGGCGUGCCUCAUGCAUGCAAGUCGAACGGGAACACUUUUGGUAGCAAUACUAGGGGUGUUCUAGUGGCGAUCGGGUGAGUAACACGUAGGUGACCUGCCCCGAAGAGAGGGAUAACGGCCCGAAAGGGCUGCUAAUACCUCAUGUGAUCGGCGAUUCGGUUUGUCGAUUAAAGUUUCCGCAAGGAGUAUGCUUCGGGGAGGGGCCUGCGGCAGAUUAGAUGGUUGGUGGGGUAAUGGCCUACCAAGUCGAUGAUCUGUAGCUAGUCUGAGAGGACGAUUAGCCACACUGGCACUGACACACGGGCCAGACUCCUACGGGAGGCAGCAGCAGGGAAUAUUGCACAAUGGGCGAAAGCCUGAUGCAGCAACGCCGCGUGAGGGAUGAAGGUCUUCGG